GACGAACGCUGGCGGCGUGCUUAACACAUGCAAGUCGAACGAAGAGCGAUGGAAGCUUGCUUCUCUCAAUCUUAGUGGCGAACGGGUGAGUAACGCGUAAUCAACCUGCCCUUCAGAGGGGGACAACAGUUGGAAACGACUGCUAGUACCGCAUACGAUCUAAUCUCGGCAUCGAGGAUAGAUGAAAGGUGGCCUCUACAUGUAAGCUAUCACUGAAGGAGGGGAUUGCGUCUGAUUAGCUAGUUGGAGGGGUAACGGCCCACCAAGGCGAUGAUCAGUAGCCGGUCUGAGAGGAUGAACGGCCACAUUGGGACUGAGACACGGCCCAGACUCCUACGGGAGGCAGCAGUGGGGAAUCUUCCGCAAUGGACGAAAGUCUGACGGAGCAACGCCGCGUGAGUGAUGACGGCCUUCGGGUUGUAAAGCUCUGUUAAUCGGGACGAAAGGCCUUCUUGCGAACAGUUAGAAGGAUUGACGGUACCGGAAGAGAAAGCCACGGCUAACUACGUG
rnacentral:rRNA from 1 species